GAUUUUCGGUAGCUCAGUUGGAUACCUGCCUGCCGGCAGGCAGGGAGCAUCAGCCUUCUAACCUGCCUGACGGCAGGCAGGGCUGAGGGUCAUUGGUUCGAAUCCAAUCCGGAUCA
rnacentral:tRNA from 1 species